rnacentral:rRNA from 1 species
AACGAACGUUGGCGGCGUGGUUUAGGCAUGCAAGUCGUACGAGUUUCAUCUGGGUAACUGGAUUAAUAAAGUGGCGAAAGGGGCAGUAAGGCAUGGGUAAUCUACCCUGAUGAACGGGAUAGCUUUCCCAACGGGCAGGUAAUACCGGAUGAGCUGGUUGGGCCGCAUGGUUCUGCCAGGAAAGGCGCACGCCGUGUCGGGAGGAAGCCGUGUGUUAUUAGCUAGUUGGUGUGGUAAAGGCCCACCAAGGCGAAGAUGUGUAGCGUGCGUGAGAGAACGAGCACCGCCACCGGAACCGUGAGAGUGGCAACACUCCUACGGGAGGCUGAAGUGGCGGAUCUUCGGCAAUGGGCGAAAGCCUGAGCGAGCGACGCCGCGUGAGCGAAGAAGGCCAUUAGGUGGUAAAGACCUGUCGAGGGGGAACAGGCCGCAAGGUGGAGGGAUCCAUUGAGGAAGCACGGGCUAAGUUCGUG